rnacentral:piRNA from 1 species
UGCUAGUAUUCUUUGGAGUGUUACCUGUGU